AGAAAGCCAUGAGAAAUGAUUGGCUCAGAUCAUCUGUAAAUCUUCCAACCCCCCAGGAAAUAAUUGUAGUUGCCACCAACUUCAACAAGAGUAAACAAUGGACAUUAUUACUAAAUUUCUCAAAUCACUAGCAAACCUUCGGAGAAAUUUGUAUAGAGCUGAACUAAAAAUACCAUUUUUUGAUUUAUCAUUUGGUUCUGAUAAACUAUUAAUUGUUAGCUUACAGUUACUAAAAUCUACAUCUGGUCCAUUAGCUAUUGAAAAUGGUCAGAUUGUGCCUUUUAAUGGCAAACGUUUAUCAGGCCAGUGUACCUGUUACAUUUUAGUUUGGUCCUCAGAUAUUGAGAAGGGUUGGAUCAGCAGAGGUCUGGGCUUUUAUUAUGGUUCUGGGGCCGUUAUAACAGCCAAACAUGUUAUAGAGGGUUAUGAAAACGCCAAUAUUUAUGUCCUUUUCCCAACUCAUGAGCGCUGCUUGAUGUAUAGAGCCCAGAGAAAACCAGAUAUAAAUGGCAAAACAAUUCCAGAAUACCAAGAUAUCGCUGUGAUUGAAUUACAAGGAUGUUUAGAUCCAUUACAAAACCUGAAAUCAGACAUAGGUGAGUUACAUGGAAAUGAGAUGGUGCAUUUUGAUACAUUAGAGUCAGGAUGUUUUGUAAGAAAGUAUAGUCAAAUUAAAACACCAAAUACUAA